GGAAGUGUAGUUUAGUGGUAGAACUCCUGCCUAACAAGCAAAAGGCCCUGAGUCCCAACCCAGUGCUGCCA
rnacentral:tRNA from 1 species